rnacentral:ncRNA from 1 species
GAAAUUUUACUUUUUAAGUGAAGUAGAAUGAGAAUUAUUGGAGAUUUUAUAAUGGUCUAAUUAGGGUUAAGAUGAUGUUAUUUAUUUUUAAUUUAUUUUAUGGACAAUAAUGGUUGAUCCUGUUCUGAUGUUCAUUUGUAUAAAUUAAGUACCAGAAUAAUCGGAUAGACUUAUUAAAUUAGUACUUUAAUUGGGGUUAAUGAAAAAUUUUUUUUUUGGUUUGUUUAGAGUAAUCUUUUGUAGAAUGUUGAGUGUUUUUUUGUUUUGUUUUUCGUUAGAAGAUAAGAGGAGCGAACUGGAUUAGUACCCAGGUAGUUUUAGGUUAUUAGAGCAGAAGUAUAAUGGUGUUGAAACUGAAAUUAUUAUGGGAGACUUUAAAAUUAUUUUUGGAGGUUGACGAGUAAUUGAGAGCCCUCAUUAUAAACUGGUAUUUUAGUGGUAUGUAUGAUCGUCUUUUUUUCUAUUGAGUAAGGAAGAGGAAAAAUUUGUUUGUUUAUUAAGAUAGAUAGAUAUCUACUUUAUGUAUCAGAUUUUGUUGACCUACACUAUUUUAAUUUUUGGAUCUUUUCUUGAUAGGGAGGGGUGAAAUUGGAAAAAACAGUAAAUUGAUUUUUAUGUUUAAUUGAAGAAUAUUUUAGAGUGGUACAAAUCAUCCAUCAAUUACUUAAAGAGUAAUAAGUUGUAGUAUAGUGGGAGUAGGGGAACCUGUUCCUAGGUUGGA